UACGGGGGGGGCAAGCGUUGUUCGGAAUUACUGGGCGUAAAGGGCUCGUAGGCGGCCAACUAAGUCAGACGUGAAAUCCCCAGGCUUAACCUGGGAACUGCGUGUGAUACUGGAUGGCUUGAAUUCGGGAGAGGGAUGCAGAAUUCCAGGUGUAGCGGUGAAAUGCGUAGAUAUCUGGAGGAGUACUGGUGGCGAAGGCGGCAUCCUGGACCGACAUUGACGCUGAUGAGCGAAAGCUAGGGGAGCAAACGGG
rnacentral:rRNA from 1 species